CCUACGGGGGGCAGCAGUGGGGAAUAUUGCACAAUGGGGGAAACCCUGAUGCAGCAACGCCGCGUGAGUGAAGAAGUAUUUCGGUAUGUAAAGCUCUAUCAGCAGGGAAGAAAAUGACAGUACCUGACCAAGAAGCCCCGGCUAACUACGUGCCAGCAGCCGCGGUAAUACGUAGGGGGCAAGCGUUAUCCGGAUUUACUGGGUGUAAAGGGAGCGUAGACGGCUGCGCAAGUCAGAAGUGAAAGCCCGGGGCUCAACCGCGGGACUGCUUUUGAAACUGUGUAGCUAGAGUGCAGGAGAGGUAAGUGGAAUUCCUGGUGUAGCGGUGAAAUGCGUAGAUAUUAGGAGGAACACCGGUGGCGAAGGCGGCUUACUGGACUGUAACUGACGUUGAGGCUCGAAAGCGUGGGGAGCAAACAGGAUUAGAUACCCCUGUAGUC
rnacentral:rRNA from 1 species